GAUAAUUCUCUCUCUCCCUCCACCCAUUUUCGAGCUCUCUCUCUCUCCCCUUCAUCUCUCUAUUUUUCCACCAUUUUCCUCCAUUGAUGCACCUUCGAAGCUUCUCAAAUUCAUACCAAAAACUCAAAUCACCCUCUAAAUCCACCCUAAACACCUCUUAUCAACUUAAAUCCAAGAGAAUCCUUGAAGAUUGGUUUCAAGAAUAGUGAGAGAAAAUUUGGAUAAUUGGUGAAAACUUGGGUAAGUAAUCUCUAUAUUUAUAGAUUAGACUUGUAUGAGUUUGUAUGUGAGUAUUCUUGAAGGAUUGAAGCAAGAAAUCACCCCCUCCCUUUUUCUUCAAAUUUUCGAAAAAUUUGGGUGUUCUACCCUUCAAAAAUUUUUCUUUUUCUUUCCUUGAAUUGAGGUGAGAAAAAUGAUCUAUGUGAUGUUUGGUAAUGAUUUGAGGUGUGUUUUGAAAAACUAUGUUUUGAGAUGUAAAGAUUCGAUGAGUUUAGUUUACCCCAAUUUGGGAAUUUUUGAGUUGAUGAUCAAGGUGAUGAAUUGGUGAUGAAAAUGAGUCUAUGAGGUGUAUAUGAUGAUGAUUGAUGGAGUAAUUUGAGUAUAUGAUGUCAAUUGGAGUUUUGAUGUGAGUUAGUUUACUAGAAUUAGGGAUAUGUGUAUAUAUGCCCUUAUUUGUGAAUUGAUGGUAUAAUUAUGUGAGUUUAUAUGACUAAAAUUGAUAGAUAUAUGAUGAGAUUAAAGAUCCAUGUGAGUUUAUAAAAUUUCUUAGAGUUUAGUUUAAUAAAAAUUAGGAUCUUCUUGUCUAUGUGUCUAUUAAGUGAUUUAGCUUAAGAUAUGUGUAAUUGAGCAUGAUGUUAGUGUAUAAUUAUGUAUGAUUAAGUCUAUUGUUAACUAAGUAAAAAUUUGACUUGAGUUAGUAUAUGAGAAUUUUUGAGUUUCAUAUUUUGAGAAGUCAUCGAUUGUUUAAAUGUGGUCUAUUUUGAUCUAUGACCAUUAUGUGAAAGAUGUCAUGCUUUUGUUGAGAAUUUUAUGUUGAUAUAUGAGUUUUUCACUAGAGUUAGUUUACAUGAUAAAAAGGGAAAUAUAUGUGAAAAAUGAGUUAUAUGAAGUAUGAGGUCAUUUUGAAUGAUUGAGUGUUUUAAGCAUGAAAUUGAGAAGAGGAUUUACUUAAUACGUUGUAGAAACGUUUUCCUUGAGAUUUGAGUGGAUGAUGAAAGAAAAGAGUCAAGAUUGAGUAUUAUGAGUAUUUUAAUGUUUUUGAAUGUUUUUGAGUGUUAUAUGUGUUUAAAAUGAACUUUGAUUGGCUUUCUUUGAAGGAAUGUUAAUUUGAGCAUUUAAGAGUUGGGAAUGAAUUUUUGGUGAUUUUUCGUAGGCUACUGACCUACUGUGAUCGACGGUUUGUCGAUGUCAAAAAGCUUUGAAAAUUUUACAGAAUGUCCCUACAUGAGUCUUGAGCACCUCUGUAAAAUUUCAAGUCAUUUGGACUUGAUUUACUAUUUUUAUAAAAUGCAAAACCAAAUCUGCACAUUUCUGCCGGGAAUUUCAGAGAACAGGGGACAAAGUCAUUCAUUUCAGUGACUUCCUGUGUGAUCUAGCUUUCCAAAUUUUUAUGGUAUCAACCUUACUGUAUGGGCUAGAUAUCCACCAAAUUUGAGCUCAGUUUGACAACGUUUACUAUUUUAGAAAAAUCAAUGUUUCCGAUUGCUCAAAACUGCCGAAUAUGGUAGACCGUAGUAAAAACGCCAUAUCUCCCAAACCACUUGGAGUUUCUGACUCUACUUUUUUUUAAAUGAAACUAGACUCAAAUACCUUUCUUUUGGUAUGAGUCUGGAGUCCAGGGGAUGUCGGAGUCAGAACGUGUUAAAUUUUGAAGUUGAGUCAGUGGGAAAACAGAGCAUGUUUUGUUGAUGUUUGCUUGUAUUUUCUUAUGUGCCUUAUGUGUUUAUGUUGCCUAAGUGUUUGAAUGAGAUUAGACGAGUCUUAUAUGAGAGAUGAAUCGAGACCUAGAACCAUGAUUUUCUUGAACCCUAUCCUUGGACUCAAGGAUUUGAAAUGAGUAAAGAGUUUAUGUAGAGUUGAUUAAGAGAUAGAAUAUAAUAUAGAGCAUGAGUUGAGGCAUGAGUUUUCGUCGUUAAGUUCUAAUCGAGAUUCAUUUUCUGACAUGAACCUUCGAUGAUGACGAUGAUCCCUGAAGACACAAGCAGAGCAAGG
rnacentral:lncRNA from 1 species